rnacentral:pre_miRNA from 1 species
UUUCUACUCCCUCCGUCCGAAAAUACUUGUCAUCAAAAUGUAUAAAAAGAGAUGUAUCUAAAACUAAAAUACGUCUAGAUACAUUUCCUUUUAUCCAUUUUGAUGACAAGUAUUUCCGGACGGAGGGAGUAUUUU